ensembl:lncRNA
GUUAAGCACAACUACGACAGUGCCCCCCUAAAGGGCGGUUAAAAUGAAGGAGACCUCGAUAGUAGUUUCAACCUGCACAUACCACCAUACCUCUAUUUUGUCAUUGUCCAGAACAUUCUCUGUUUUACACAGAACCCCUACCACCAGGUCAGCGUUCUUUUCUCCGUCUAAGUGGAGUGUUCACUGUAUGAGUCCCUGCGAAUGAGUGAUUUGCAGCUGUGCUACUUUAUAGAGAAGUCUUCAACACCUUCUGACCAAUCAGAAUCCAGAAUUCAGCAUCGCUGUACGUUACAGUAAGUGUAGAUGUGUAGUUUAGAUGCAGGAGGAGGAGGAGGAGGAGGAGAUGAGGUGGUGUGUUACAAGGCAGUGGAGGUCAUGGUGUAAGGUGUAAAGGUCAAGUUUACUCUCAGUAAUCUCAGCUCACACACUUUAAGAGCAACUGUAUCACUUUUAACACACUGAUGUCUUCAGCAGCUGUGCAAGAAAUAAGUAAGAAAUCACCAUGUGCCUAUAUUAUAUUUCACUGAAAUGUUUCAUGGUUUCUCAUAUGCUUACACACACAGAGAGAGAGGUUAGCUAUACCUGAUACGUAACCGGAUAGGUCACACUUUCCACCUAGCAUUGUUAUACAGUACGAUCUAAGUCUAUGCUAUACCUAACGAACGAGUGUUAAUACUUUCAACUUUAUUUACACAGCACAUUUAAAAACAACCUUGUUUCCCAAAGUGCUCCACAAUUGUUUUAGAAGAAGAGCGUAUAAAAAGUAAACAGCAAAAGAUAUAGAGCAAUGUACACACAAAUAGCCAAUAGCGUUAUCGUGCCUACAGACGCAGAGACGCGUACUCAACAUCCCCUUCCUUCAACAGCUAGGUUAAAAAGGUACGUUUUCAACCGAGACCUAAAAACCUCUAGAGAUGGAGCCUGCCGAAUACCGAGUGCAAGACUGUUCCACAAUUUUACAGAGCAACGACUGUAAAAGCUCGCUCAGUUUUUGACUUCUUCUCAGAACGAGGGCCUGCCAACGACAUUUGAUCCGUCGGUCUCUACGUCCUAGCCGAUGUAUAAAACCCUGAAAGGUUAGUAAUAUAAAUUGGAGACCACUUAAAAUAAAAUCUUAAAUUGGAUCCUAUACUGAACCGGCAGCCAGUAGAGAGGAUGACACUGGAGUAACGUGAUCCUUUUACUGCUGCCGGUCCGAAGCCUGGCUGCGGCGUCCUCCACAAACUGCAACCGAGAUAAUUGUCGCUGACCUGACCGAUCUCUGCACAGAGGAAUGAGAGAAAGCUAACAUAGUGAGAGGAAACUAAUGAAUUGAGAGAAAGCUAAUCUAGCGAGAGAAAGCUAAUCUAACAAGAGAAAGCUAAUUUAGCAAGAUGAUGCUAAUCUAGUGAGAGAAAGCUAACAAAGUGAGAAAAAAGUAAUGUAUUGAGAAAAAGCUAAUCUAGUGAGAGAAAGCUAAUCUGGCAAUUGAAAGCUAAUCUAGCGAGAGGAAACUAAUCUAGCGAGAGAAAGCUAAUCUAGCGAGAGAAAGCUAAUCUGGUGAUAAAAAGCUAACCCAGUGAGUGAACGCUAAUCUAGAGAGAGAAAUGAUGUUUAACAAUGGAGGCAAAGUCUCAUAAAGAUGACAGUCAGUCAAGCUCAUUAGAAUAUUAAGCCACACCCACCAGGACAGUUCAACUACUGCUUAAAAUAUGAUUCUGUGUUGUUGUUUUUUUUAUCUUCAUUCAAAUUUUGGUUGGAUGUUUAAUAUGACACUUAGCAUUUUAUAUUUUAUUGGACAGAAGGCUGUCAAUCAAGUACGCUUAUUAGAAUAUUAGACCACACCCACUCAGAUUGUUCAGCUGGUGUUUAGGCAGUGAUUUUUAUAUUGUUUCUUUCUCCUCUUAAAUGUAAUACUAGGUAUUUUUUAAUUUUUACACACAUUUACUAUGUUACAUUUUUCUUAAACUGACAAAUAAAUAACAAAAAAUUUAUACAUAAUAACAACAACAACAAUAAUAAAAUUAAUGAAUAAUU